rnacentral:rRNA from 1 species
GAUGAACGCUGGCGGCGUGCUUAACACAUGCAAGUCGAACGAAGCGCUUUACUUCGAUUCUUCGGAUGAAGAGUAUUGUGACUGAGUGGCGGACGGGUGAGUAACGCGUGGGUAACCUGCCUCAUACAGGGGGAUAACAGUUAGAAAUGACUGCUAAUACCGCAUAAGACCACGGUGCCGCAUGGCAGAGUGGUAAAAAACUCCGGUGGUAUGAGAUGGACCCGCGUCUGAUUAGGUAGUUGGUGGGGUAACGGCCUACCAAGCCGACGAUCAGUAGCCGACCUGAGAGGGUGACGGCCACAUUGGGACUGAGACACGGCCCAAACUCCUACGGGA